rnacentral:rRNA from 1 species
CCCUUAGAUGUUCUGGGCCGCACGCGCGCUACACUGAUUCAUGCAACAAGUUUUGUCCUUGGCUGAUAGGCCUGGGUAAUCUUUGAACGUGAAUCGUGAUGGGGAUAGAUGAUUGCAAUUAUUCAUCUUCAACGAGGAAUUCCUAGUAAACGCAAGUCAUCAGCUUGCAUUGAUUACGUCCCUGCCCUUUGUACACACCGCCCGUCGCACCUACCGAUUGAAUGGUCCGGUGAAAUCUUCGGAUCUGAGAGAUGUCUGAUUAAUUUCGGACGCCUUUUGGAAAAGUUGUUUAAACCUUACCAUUUAGAGGAAGGUGAAGUCGUAGCA